rnacentral:rRNA from 1 species
UACGUAGGGGGCAAGCGUUGUCCGGAAUCAUUGGGCGUAAAGAGCGUGUAGGCGGCUCGGUAAGUCCGCUGUGAAAGUCCAGGGCUCAACCCUGGAAUGCCGGUGGAAACUGUCGAGCUAGAGUCCGGAAGAGGCGAGUGGAAUUCCGGGUGGAGCGGUGAAAUGCGUAGAGAUCCGGAGGAACACCGACGGCGCAGGCAGCGUCCUGGCCGCUUGCUGACACUGAGGCACGAAAGCUGGGGGAGCAAACAGG